GCUUGCUUCUCUUGAGAGCGGCGGACGGGUGAGUAAUGCCUAGGAAUCUGCCUGGUAGUGGGGGAUAACGUUCGGAAACGGACGCUAAUACCGCAUACGUCCUACGGGAGAAAGCAGGGGACCUUCGGGCCUUGCGCUAUCAGAUGAGCCUAGGUCGGAUUAGCUAGUUGGUGAGGUAAUGGCUCACCAAGGCGACGAUCCGUAACUGGUCUGAGAGGAUGAUCAGUCACACUGGAACUGAGACACGGUCCAGACUCCUACGGGAGGCAGCAGUGGGGAAUAUUGGACAAUGGGCGAAAGCCUGAUCCAGCCAUGCCGCGUGUGUGAAGAAGGUCUUCGGAUUGUAAAGCACUUUAAGUUGGGAGGAAGGGCAGUAAAUUAAUACUUUGCUGUUUUGACGUUACCGACAGAAUAAGCACCGGCUAACUCUGUGCCAGCAGCCGCGGUAAUACAGAGGGUGCAAGCGUUAAUCGGAAUUACUGGGCGUAAAGCGCGCGUAGGUGGUUCGUUAAGUUGGAUGUGAAAUCCCCGGGCUCAACCUGGGAACUGCAUUCAAAACUGACGAGCUAGAGUAUGGUAGAGGGUGGUGGAAUUUCCUGUGUAGCGGUGAAAUGCGUAGAUAUAGGAAGGAACACCAGUGGCGAA
rnacentral:rRNA from 1 species